rnacentral:rRNA from 1 species
AUUGAACGCUGGCGGCAGGCCUAACACAUGCAAGUCGAGCGAGCGGCGGACGGGUGAGUAAUGUAUAGGGACUGUCCGCUAUGGGGGGAUAACUCAUGGAAACGGUAGUUAAUACUGCAUACUACCGGAUUACACAUAUGGGAUUAGCUCGUAGGUGAGGUAUUGGCUCACCUGGGCGACGAUCCCUAGCUGGUGGGAGAGGAUGAUCAGCCACACUGGGACUGAGAAACGGCCCAGACUCCUACGGAGGCAGCGGUGGGGAAUAUUGCAAAAUGGGCGAAAGCCUGAUGCAGCCAUGCCGCGUGUAUGAAGAAGGCCUUAGGGUUGUAAAGUACUUUCAGUCGGGAGGCGUUACCGAAAGAAAAAGCACCGGCUAACUCCGUGCCAGCAGCCGCGGUAAUUC